GUCGUCGUGGCCAAGCUGGUUAAGGCACUUCGCUGAUAACGAAGAGAUGCGCUGGUUCGAGCCCAGCCGACGACAC
rnacentral:tRNA from 1 species